CUUUGGAGCAGCAGUCGAGGCUCGUCCAUUGACGGAGUAACGUUCGUUGUUGUGGUUGUCGAUGCAAACAACGUGUUUACCAAUAAUCGCGAAACGAAACGUAACUCAACUCGAUCGUAAUCGUGCUACGCUCCAUGGAAACCGAUACUUCGACGUUUCUUUGACGUUACUUUGAUAUUUUAACUGGAAGUUUCUCCGCGAUCGCGUGUGUUUUGUUCGUUUGAUGUUUCGUUGGAACAGAGACUUCGAUUGAUCGACCGUGCUUUUUAAACGUGAUUCGCUUCCUUUUUGACCGAAGAAAGAGAGAAGAAGGGACUGGUCUCGUUGAUCCAGUGGAAAGAAGAAUAAAAGGAAAACAGUGUGCGCGACACCGAAGCGUAUCGCAAUUGAUCCAAGAUGAAGGUUUCCACCAGGUUUCCCUGAAAUAAACCUUCAAUCCUACUCGAGAAAACAAACCAAGGAUCCACCAGUGAAUCCACCAAGACAAAAUCAAUGCUGAAGGUUCGCCAUUUCGAAGAAUUUAUCAUGUCCUUGCAAGAAGCAAAAGGUUCGCGAUCAACGAGGCUCGUGAUCGAAGGUACUAACGAUCUAUCGAUUGGCACGUGUGUCGGCAAGCUGUUGGAAUGUUGGGGCGUUUGAUAAUUCGACUGUCCAACCGCGGAACGACCCACGUAAAUCAUGCCGUGGGUAAGACGUGUGAUCGCCGACACGUUAGCUGGUCGCUUAACGACGGCGAAAAAAGCUCGCCGGUGGAAAAAAGGGACCGCCUAGAGAGAGAUUCAUAGUGAUUGGAUAGAUACCUGUGAUUUUACCAUUUGUAAGAGAGAAAGGGAGGGGGAAGAGUAACCGUUUAUUGCGAAAGAGGUCGUUCGCGUUGCCAUCGAACGAUAUAAAAAGAAUUCGAUUGACGACCAAUCAGCUGGACCAACUGUGGGACCAUCCGGAACAGUGAGCACCGAAAUGAAGCUCGGGGAUAACAUGACUGUGAAAGCAUACAACAUAUGGGGCGGCGUUCCUCUACGAAAAUGUCGGUCAUCGAAGAUCGACAUCCCAAAGUGA